rnacentral:tRNA from 1 species
GUCGGGGUGGCUCAGCCUGGUGGAGCAUCGGACUCAUAAUCCGGGGGUCACGGGUUCAAAUCCCGUCCCCGACA